UUGGUUACUUCUAAAUGGUUAAUUAACAUAACAAGAAUAAACUCAGUAAGCAUGAAUGUAGGAUUACAAUUGCCAAAAUUUCUGUCUUCUGCAGAAUGAAUUGAAUUGUGCUUGGUAUUGACUGUUUAUUCAUUAUGUUGAGAUGACCUGAGAGGUACCAGCAAGUUGUCUGCGUAGAUCAAGCACGUAUAUGACAUUUGCACACUUUUUGUUUAUGCAGAAAUUUGGUCUUUGGUCUUUCUCAUGUUUGGAAGCGAGCUGUUCAAAGACAUUUACAUCUUUGAUAACAACAUUAAUGAGAAUAAAGUAAAAUGAUGUUUUGAAUG